AUGAACGCUAGCUACAGGCUUAACACAUGCAAGUCGAGGGGCAGCAUCAUCAAAGCUUGCUUUGAUGGAUGGCGACCGGCGCACGGGUGAGUAACACGUAUCCAACCUGCCGACAACACUGGGAUAGCCUUUCGAAAGAAAGAUUAAUACCGGAUGGCAUAAUUAUUCCGCAUGGGAUAAUUAUUAAAGAAUUUCGGUUGUCGAUGGGGAUGCGUUCCAUUAGGCAGUUGGCGGGGUAACGGCCCACCAAACCUACGAUGGAUAGGGGUUCUGAGAGGAAGGUCCCCCACAUUGGAACUGAGACACGGUCCAAACUCCUACGGGAGGCAGCAGUGAGGAAUAUUGGUCAAUGGACGAGAGUCUGAACCAGCCAAGUAGCGUGAAGGAUGACUGCCCUAUGGGUUGUAAACUUCUUUUAUACGGGAAUAAAGUGAGCCACGUGUGGCUUUUUGUAUGUACCGUAUGAAUAAGGAUCGGCUAACUCCGUGCCAGCAGCCGCGGUAAUACGGAGGAUCCGAGCGUUAUCCGGAUUUAUUGGGUUUAAAGGGAGCGUAGGCGGGUUGUUAAGUCAGUUGUGAAAGUUUGCGGCUCAACCGUAAAAUUGCAGUUGAUACUGGCGACCUUGAGUGCAACAGAGGUAGGCGGAAUUCGUGGUGUAGCGGUGAAAUGCUUAGAUAUCACGAAGAACUCCGAUUGCGAAGGCAGCUUACUGGAUUGUAACUGACGCUGAUGCUCGAAAGUGUGGGUAUCAAACAGGAUUAGAUACCCUGGUAGUCCACACAGUAAACGAUGAAUACUCGCUGUUGGCGAUAUACAGUCAGCGGCCAAGCGAAAGCAUUAAGUAUUCCACCUGGGGAGUACGCCGGCAACGGUGAAACUCAAAGGAAUUGACGGGGGCCCGCACAAGCGGAGGAACAUGUGGUUUAAUUCGAUGAUACGCGAGGAACCUUACCCGGGCUUAAAUUGCAACUGACGGAACCGGAAACGGUUCUUUCUUCGGACAGUUGUGAAGGUGCUGCAUGGUUGUCGUCAGCUCGUGCCGUGAGGUGUCGGCUUAAGUGCCAUAACGAGCGCAACCCUUACGGGUAGUUACCAUCAGGUUAUGCUGGGGACUCUACCCGGACUGCCGUCGUAAGAUGUGAGGAAGGUGGGGAUGACGUCAAAUCAGCACGGCCCUUACGUCCGGGGCUACACACGUGUUACAAUGGGGGGUACAGAAGGCAGCUACACGGCGACGUGGUGCUAAUCCCAAAAGCCUCUCUCAGUUCGGAUUGGAGUCUGCAACCCGACUCCAUGAAGCUGGAUUCGCUAGUAAUCGCGCAUCAGCCACGGCGCGGUGAAUACGUUCCCGGGCCUUGUACACACCGCCCGUCAAGCCAUGAAAGCCGGGGGUACCUGAAGUACGUAACCGCGAGGAGCGUCCUAGGGUAAAACUGGUGAUUGGGGCU
rnacentral:rRNA from 1 species